UGGGGAGCGGCCCCCGGGGUG
rnacentral:miRNA from 1 species